GUGCUUGCUUCGGCGGCACAUACACUAAGGUUGGAACAGCACAUGGAAAAUGAGCAUGGCCCCUGUGCAAGGAUGACAUGCAAAUUCCUUAAGCGUUCCACACUUUU
ensembl:snRNA U6 U6 spliceosomal RNA